UGAUGCCUUUACAACAUGAGACUUCAUAAAAAAAAGAUACUAUCUUUUUACAAACAACCCUAAAAGAGAAAGCUGAAAAGUACAUAACUUUUUUUUUAGACACAGGUUUGUUUUUUAUUCAACCAUAAUCGUCACUAAAAGAAUGUCAAACCAUAAUCAAAAUCCAUAUAACAUUGAAUUAACCUUUCUAUAUUACCUAGCAGGAUUAAUGGUGUUUCUACUAUUCCUAAUUCCAUUUUCAUUGAGUGUAGGAUAAUUCAUUUUCUUUACAAGAUCUUCACUCACAAUUUUUUCUAUAGAACGAAUAUUUUUUAAAUUUUUCUAAUUAAAUUUUUUUUUUUAGAUCAUUAAAUCAAAGUCAAACCCAUGUACAUCUAUAAAAAGACACACAUGAUUUUAAAAAAUCCAAUCAUCGUCGUUUUCCCUCAACAUGGUUUUUUUAUUGGCUCAUUAGAAACAAAUUCAAUCAGUUUAUAAAAAAUUCUUUUGGUUUUCAAGUUCAAUUUAAUACAUGUUUUUAAUAACACCUGUUUGAUACCUUAUCCAGAACUAAACAAUGUCUUUUUUUUUCGAAGCUAGAACUAAAUUGAAGAAAGUUUUUAAAAUGAAAAAUGUCAUGAAUCAUGAAGACGAUUGGUAAAUUUUUGUUUACAAGGAUCAGUUUAGUGUUACUUAUUCUCUUUUACAAUUUAUUCGUACCCGGAAAAAAAAUAUCAAAAAGAAUUAUAUUGAAUUCUUUUUUAAUGUUACCGAAUUUACUAACGUACGUUACGUUGAUUUACUGAUCAAACUUCAAGCGCUUGCAAGUUUUUUAAUUCAUUAGAAAUGAAAGUUAAGAAUGUGUAGCAUUGCUUUUUAACGAAGUACCCUUUUUUUAUACCCGAGUAAUAAAAAUUUAUUUAAUUUCAAUUUGAAGAUGUUCAAGAAUUAAAAAAGAAGAUUUCUUUUUAUUCAAUAAAUUAUAUGUAUUACAAAAGAGAUGAAAAAAAGUCUUUGAUUAAGUAAAUAGCAGUUUCACGCUGGGCAUAGCGGAUGGAGUCUUUCAUUUAACAUGUUGAAUGAAUUAAUGCCUUCAUUAUGAGCGAUAAAACAAUAACGCCUGAUCUACUAUCAGAGAGUGUUAAUGAAUGAAGUUUUUCAUUCCUGAUUCAACAUAUGGGCACUUCUCUGCGGACGCGCCUUAGUCAAUCGUGUUAGAUUAGUCUAGCAAGCAUUGAGAGCGAAUCCCACUGAUUGUUGAUUAGCCAAGGAAAAAACUCUCCGUUUCAUUUAGUCCUCCCCGUGUGAAAUAGGCUGUGAAGCCAAAUGACGAACUUUAAAAAGAUGUCUUGCGCUAUAGUUUUUACGUGGGAAAAAGUGCUUUUCUUUCAUUAAAAAACUUUUUUAAAAGUAAUUUAUACCAUUGGUUUAAACGCUUACAAUUAUAUAGUUAAACGGAUAAAUUGUUAGUAUUUCUUUAAUGAGAUUAAAAAACAACAUAUAAUUUAGCAAAAUUGUUUGAAAAAAAAAAAACAGAAAUUAUAGUGAUGAGUAGAAAUUAUAACGAUGAGAAGAAAUUUUAUUUAUUAAAAUAAAAA